rnacentral:lncRNA from 1 species
CCCCUCGAUACCGCGAUGCCCUAGUCUCUCACAUCAAGAUAAGAAUUAACUUCGAAUGUAUUGCACAUCAUUACAUGAUCCAUAUUAUUUUUUGUUAUAUGGAUAAUUCUUUAUUAUAUGAAUAAUUUUAUAUAUUUGCUUUCUGUUAUGAUGAAUGUUCAUAUGUAUAGGAUAAUAUUGACUUCGAGGAUUUCACCGACGAACAAGUGACUGCAUGUAUUC